rnacentral:rRNA from 1 species
UACGGAGGAUCCAAGCGUCAUCCGGAAUUACUGGGCGUAAAGAGUUGCGUAGGUGGCAGAGUAAGUUGGUAGUGAAAGAAUGGGGCUCAACCUCAUCCACAUUACUAAAACUGCUCAGCUAGAGGAUGAGAGAGGUCGUUGGAAUUCCUAGUGUAGGAGUGAAAUCCGUAGAUAUUAGGAGGAACACCGAUGGCGUAGGCAGACGACUGGCUCAUUCCUGACACUAAGACACGAAAGCGUGGGGAGCAAACGGG